CAGCAGUCGCCGCGGUAAUACGUAGGUGGCAAGCGUUGUCCGGAAUUAUUGGGCGUAAAGCGCGCGCAGGCGGAUCAGUUAGUCUGUCUUAAAAGUUCGGGGCUUAACCCCGUGAGGGGAUGGAAACUGCUGAUCUAGAGUAUCGGAGAGGAAAGUGGAAUUCCUAGUGUAGCGGUGAAAUGCGUAGAUAUUAGGAAGAACACCAGUGGCGAAGGCGACUUUCUGGACGAAAACUGACGCUGAGGCGCGAAAGCCAGGGGAGCGAACGGGAUUAGAUACCCCGGUAGUCCCUGUCUCUUAUACA
rnacentral:rRNA from 1 species